UAGGGAAUCUUCCGCAAUGGGCGAAAGCCUGACGGAGCAACGCCGCGUGAGUGAUGAAGGUCUUCGGAUCGUAAAACUCUGUUAUUAGGGAAGAACAAACGUGUAAGUAACUAUGCACGUCUUGACGGUACCUAAUCAGAAAGCCACGGCUAACUACGUGCCAGCAGCCGCGGUAAUACGUAGGUGGCAAGCGUUAUCCGGAAUUAUUGGGCGUAAAGCGCGCGUAGGCGGUUUUUUAAGUCUGAUGUGAAAGCCCACGGCUCAACCGUGGAGGGUCAUUGGAAACUGGAAAACUUGAGUGCAGAAGAGGAAAGUAGAAUUCCAUGUGUAGCGGUGAAAUGCGCAGAGAUAUGGAGGAGCACCAGUGGCGAAGGCGACUUUCUGGUCUGUAACUGACGCUGAUGUGCGAAAGCGUGGGGAUCAAACAGG
rnacentral:rRNA from 1 species